rnacentral:rRNA from 1 species
UACGGAGGUUCCAAGCGUUGUUCGGAAUUACUGGGCGUAAAGGGAGCGCAGGCGGUUUGGUCAGUCUAAAGUGGAAGCCCGGGGCUCAACCUCGGAAAGCCUUUGGAUACUGCCAAACUUGAGUACGUGAGAGGAAGGCGGAAUUCAAGGUGUAGCGGUGAAAUGCUUAGAUAUCUUGAGGAACACCAAUGGCGAAAGCAGCCUUCUGGCACGAAACUGACGCUGAGGCUCGAAAGCGUGGGGAGCAAACAGG